CCGUUCAACAUGGUAUCUGCCGCAAGGUCCUUGACCUAGCCGUCGUCACCGCUUCCGCACCGCGCGCAUCCCCCGGGGCGGCCGGCCUCUAUGACCGCCGCUGGGGGCCGCGCCGCCCGUACCUAGGGUUUGUCUGCCGGACUUGUUGACCGGCUGCCCUAGAGAGUCUUUUCCCGAUCUCUUGGUGUAGGGUUUCUCUCCUCCGUCGGUCACUUUGAUUGGCGUUUUCUUUUUGGUUUUUCCGAUCUUAGAUCGGAUUGCGUCGCCCGCCGCCGCCUUUGACCACCGCGCCCCUACUCCGACAUUGGCGCG
rnacentral:lncRNA from 1 species